AUUGAACGCUGGCGGCAUGCUUUACACAUGCAAGUCGAACGAGUGGCGAACGGGUGAGUAAUGCCUCGGAACGUGCCGGGUAGUGGGGGAUAACUGUUCGAAAGGACAGCUAAUACCGCAUAUUCUUCGAUCGGCCGAUGUUGGAUUACCUGGUUGGCGGGGUAAAGGCCCACCAAGGCGACGAUCACUAGCGGGUCUGAGAGGAUGAACAGCCACACUGGAACUGAGACACGGCCCAGACUCCUACGGGAGGCAGCAGUGGGGAAUUUUGGACAAUGGGCGCAAGCCGGAUGCAGCCAUGCCGCGUGUCUGAAGAAGGCCUUCGGGUUGUAAAGGACUUUCGUCAGGGAAGCGGUACCUGAAGAAUAAGCACCGGCUAACUACGUGCCAGCAGCCGCGGUAAUUC
rnacentral:rRNA from 1 species